GGAGAGGUGGCUGAGUGGUCGAAAGCAACGCACUCGAAAUGCGGCAUACUCACAAGGGUAUCGUGGGUUCGAAUCCCACCCUCUCCGCCA
rnacentral:tRNA from 1 species